UGGGAUCAGGUAAGGGUGAAAGGGUGCGGUAAGAGCGCACCGCGCGGCUGGUAACAGUCCGUGGCACGGUAAACUCCACCCGGAGCAAGGCCAAAUAGGGGUUCAUAAGGUACGGCCCGUACUGAACCCGGGUAGGCUGCUUGAGCCAGUGAGCGAUUGCUGGCCUAGAUGAAUGACUGUCCACGACAGAACCCGGCUUAUCGGUCAGUUUCACCU
rnacentral:RNase_P_RNA from 1 species